rnacentral:rRNA from 1 species
CCUACGGGAGGCUGCAGGGGGGAAUAUUGGACAAUGGGCGCAAGCAUGAUCCAGCCAUGCCGCGUGUGUGAAGAAGGCCUUAGGGUUGUAAAGCACUUUCAGUGGGGAGGAAGGGUGUUGUGUUAAUAGUACAGCACUUUGACGUUACCCACAGAAGAAGCACCGGCUAACUCCGUGACAGCAGCCGCGGUAAUACGGAGGGUGCAAGCGUUAAUCGGAAUUACUGGGCGUAAAGAGCACGCAGGCGGCUUUUUAAGUCGGAUGUGAAAGCCCCGGGCUCAACCUGGGAAUUGCAUCUGAUACUGGGAAGCUAGAGUAUGUGAGAGGGGGGUAGAAUUCCAAGUGUAGAGGUGAAAUGCGUAGAGAUUUGGAGGAAUACCAGUGGCGAAGGCGGCCCCCUGGCACAAUACUGACGCUCAGGUGCGAAAGCGUGGGGAGCAAACAGGAUUAGAUACCCUUGUAGUC